CAUAAGGUCUUAUUAUUAUGAUUUCUUUUCACUCCUAGUUAAGAAAGGUUAAGAUUUUCAUAUUUCACUAGUCAUUUCAAUAAAGAGUGAUCUAGGUCCACAGAUUGGUAGAAUGUGUUGCCCAGGGUUGUAGUUCUCAACAAUUACUGUGAAGGCACACUUGGCUCAGAAUGAAUUAUGGAAUAAAAAUCCUAACAUAGAGAAAUAAGUGAACUAAUAUUGAUAAAUAAUCAGUCAUAAGAACUUGGGAUUUCAGACCUCAGACAUAUUCUAGUACUCAGAAGAGACCUCCCUGGAAGCUAUUAAGCUUGACCUCUUUAAUUUACAGAUAAAAUAUGGCCACCUAGAAAUUGGGGCAGUUUUGGGAGGGGAAAAGACACUAUCCUGCACUAUUAUAUAGUUUUUUAUUUUAUUUUUUAUUUUAACUAUUUAUUUUUGUGAAUUAGGUGCUGACUGGUUAUUUCUGUCUAUUGAAGAUGCAAAAUAUAGUCUUCUGAAUUUUUUUUUUACCCUGGAUCAAAAUUCUAUUGACUCCAUUGUAGUUUUGGCCCUGUUUGUUAUCAAGGUUGGAAUAAACAAAAGGA
rnacentral:lncRNA from 1 species